UUUUACCUGGAUGAAAAGGUGCUACCAAAUGAUAGACAGAAGAUUGAAGAAAAACCUAAAGAUGUUCAUCAUUGUUCAUCCAUCCUGGUUCAUACGGACUUUGCUAGGAAUGAUCAGACCCUUCAUAAGUUCCAAGUUCAGCAGUAAGAUCAAGUAUGUGCAUAGUCUGCAGGAGCUCGGAGAAAUCAUUCCUAUGGAGUAUGUGCAUAUACCUCACAGCAU